rnacentral:rRNA from 1 species
AUUGAACGCUGGCGGCAGGCCUAACACAUGCAUGUCGGACGGUAGCACAGAGGAGCUUGCUCCUCGGGUGACGAGUGGCGGACGGGUGAGUAAUGUCUGGGGAUCUGCCCGAUAGAGGGGGAUAACCACUGGAAACGGUGGCUAAUACCGCAUAACGUCGCAAGACCAAAGAGGGGGACCUUCGGGCCUCUCACUAUCGGAUGAACCCAGAUGGGAUUAGCUAGUAGGCGGGGUAACGGCCCACCUAGGCGACGAUCCCUAGCUGGUCUGAGGGGAUGACCAGCCACACUGGAACUGAGAAACGGUCCAGACUCCUACGGGAGGCAGCAGUGGGGAAUAUUGCACAAUGGGCGCAAGCCUGAUGCAGCCAUGCCGCGUGUAUGAAGAAGGCCUUCGGGUUGUAAAGUACUUUCAGCGGGGAGGAAGGCGAUAAGGUUAAUAACCUUGUCGAUUGACGUUACCCGCAGAAGAAGCACCGGCUAACUCCGUGCCAGCCGCCGCCGUAA